rnacentral:rRNA from 1 species
GAUGAACGCUGGCGGCGUGCUUAAGACAUGCAAGUCGAACGGAGUGUGUAGCAAUACUCACUUAGUGGCGAAUGGGUGAGUAACACGUAGGUGACCUGCCCUGAAGUGCGGAAUAACAGUCCGAAAGGAUUGCUAAUACCGCAUGUGGUCCCGGGCGUUAGAGAACCGGGUCUAAAGCAGUAAUGCGCUUCAGGAGGGGCCUGCGGUCCAUCAGCUAGUUGGUAGGGAAUGGCCUACCAAGGCAACGACGGAUAGGGGACCUGAGAGGGUCGGCCCCCACAUUGGCACUGACACACGGGCCGAAACUCCGUACGGGAGGCAGCAGUACGGGAAUAUUGGUUCAAGUGGGCGAAAGCCUGAACCAGCAACGCCGCGUGCACGAU